rnacentral:rRNA from 1 species
AUUGAACGCUGGCGGCAUGCUUUACACAUGCAAGUCGAACGGUAACAGGCCGCAAGGUGCUGACGAGUGGCGAACGGGUGAGUAAUGCAUCGGAACGUGCCCAGUCGUGGGGGAUAACUACUCGAAAGAGUAGCUAAUACCGCAUACGAUCUAUGGAUGAAAGCGGGGGACCGUAAGGCCUCGCGCGAUUGGAGCGGCCGAUGUCAGAUUAGGUAGUUGGUGGGGUAAAGGCUCACCAAGCCAACGAUCUGUAGCUGGUCUGAGAGGACGACCAGCCACACUGGGACUGAGACACGGCCCAGACUCCUACGGGAGGCAGCAGUGGGGAAUUUUGGACAAUGGGCGAAAGCCUGAUCCAGCAAUGCCGCGUGAAGGAAGAAGGCCUUCGGGUUGUAAACUGCUUUUGUACGGAACGAAACGGCUCUGGUUAAUACCCGGGGCUAAUGACGGUACCGUAAGAAUAAGCACCGGCUAACUACGUG